rnacentral:rRNA from 1 species
UGGGGAAUAUUGCACAAUGGGCGCAAGCCUGAUGCAGCCAUGCCGCGUGUGUGAAGAAGGCCUUCGGGUUGUAAAGUACUUUCAGCGGGGAGGAAGGCGAUAAGGUUAAUAACCUUGUCGAUUGACGUUACCCGCAGAAGAAGCACCGGCUAACUCCGUGCCAGCAGCCGCGGUAAUACGGAGGGUGCAAGCGUUAAUCGGAAUUACUGGGCGUAAAGCGCACGCAGGCGGUCUGUCAAGUCGGAUGUGAAAUCCCCGGGCUCAACCUGGGAACUGCAUUCGAAACUAGCAGGCUAGAGUCUUGUAGAGGGGGGUAGAAUCCCAGGUGUAGCGGUGAAAUGCGUAGAGAUCUGGAGGAAUACCGGUGGCGAAGGCGGCACCCUGGACAAAGACUGACGCUCAGGUGCGAAAGCGUGGGGAGCAAACAGG